rnacentral:rRNA from 1 species
UACGUAGGGGGCUAGCGUUGUCCGGAAUCAUUGGGCGUAAAGCGCGUGUAGGCGGCCCGAUAAGUCCGCUGUGAAAGUCCAGGGCUCAACCCUGGGAUGCCGGUGGAUACUGUCGGGCUCGAGUCCGGAAGAGGCGAGUGGAAUUCCUGGUGUAGCGGUGAAAUGCGCAGAUAUCAGGAGGAACACCCGUGGCGAAAGCGGCUCUCUGGGACGGUACUGACGCUGAGACGCGAAAGCGUGGGGAGCAAACAGG